AGAUUGAACGCUGGCGGCAUGCCUUACACAUGCAAGUCGAACGGUAGAGUGGCAAUACUUGAGAGUGGCGAACGGGUGAGUAAUAUAUCGGAACGUGCCCAGUCGUGGGGGAUAACGUAGAGAAAUUUACGCUAAUACCGCAUACGAUCUAAGGAUGAAAGCGGGGGACCGUAAGGCCUCGCGCGAUUGGAGCGGCUGAUAUCAGAUUAGGUUGUUGGUGAGGUAAAAGCUCACCAAGCCGACGAUCUGUAGCUGGUUUGAGAGAACGACCAGCCACACUGGGACUGAGACACGGCCCAGACUCCUACGGGAGCAGCAGUGGGGAAUUUUGGACAAUGGGGCAAAG
rnacentral:rRNA from 1 species